rnacentral:rRNA from 1 species
UACGGGGGGGGCAAGCGUUGUUCGGAAUUACUGGGCGUAAAGGGCUCGUAGGCGGCCAACUAAGUCGGACGUGAAAUCCCUCGGCUUAACCGGGGAACGGCGUCCGAUACUGGAUGGCUUGAGUUUGGGAGAGGGAUGCGGAAUUCCAGGUGUAGCGGUGAAAUGCGUAGAUAUCUGGAGGAACACCGGUGGCGAAGGCGGCAUCCUGGACCGGUAUUGACGCUGAGGCGGCGAAAGCUAGGGGAGCAAACGGG